GGGAAUGUGGCUCAAUGGUAGAGUGCUUGCCUAGCAUGCAUGAAGCCCUUGUUCCAUUCCUC
rnacentral:tRNA from 1 species